rnacentral:lncRNA from 1 species
GCUCAACGAGAGAGUGAGAGAGAGAGAGAAACAAGAUCUCACGGUUUGAAAAAUUUGAAUUUAGAUUCUUGAAUUUGAAUGUUGAAUGUUUUUCCAAACGUCACAAUUCAAGGUGUUUUCUCCACCUCGAUCUGCUCCAAACGUCCCAAUUCAAGGUGUUUUCUCCACCCCGAGCUGCUCCUCCCGCUGGACCCUGUGUGGCACCUCGCGGCUAGUUAAGGGUUAAGUUUAGACAUUCACUCUGAAUGGUUACGUUAAGGGUGGCCGGUAGCCUAAUGGUUAGAGCGUUGGACUAGGAACUGGAAGGUUGCUAAAUUAAAUCCCCGAGCUGACAAGGUAAAAAUCUGUUGUUCUGCGACUGAACAAGGCAGUUAAUAAGUUAACCCACUGUUCCUAGGCUGUCAUUGUGAAUAAGAAUUUGUUCUUUACUGACUUGCCUUAUUAGAUAAAGGUAAAAUAAAGGGGUUAAGUUUAGACAUUAAUUCUGAUUGGUUAAGUUAAGGGUUAAGUUAAGACAUUAAUUCUGAUUGGUUAAGUUAAAGGUUAAGUUUAGACAUUAAUUCUGAUUUGUUGAGUUAAGGGUUAAGGUUUAGACAUUCAUUCUGAUUGGUUAAGUUAAAGGUUAAGUUUAGACAUUAAUUCUGAUUUGUUGAGUUAAGGGUUAAGGUUUAGACAUUAAUUCUGAUUGGUUAAGUUUAGACAUUAAUUCUGAUUUGUUGAGUUAAGGGUUAAGGUUUAGACAUUAAUUUUGAUUGGUUAAGUUAAGGGUUAAGGUUUAGACAUUCAUUCUGAUUGGUUAAGUUAAGGGUUAAGGUUUAGACAUUAAUUCUGAUUGGUUAAGUUAAGGGUUAAGGUUUAGACAUUAAUUCUGAUUGGUUAAGUUAAGGGUUAAGGUUUGGGUUGAGGUAAAAAAAAGAAAAAGUAAAGUAACAAAUGAGUGCUUAUAGCCCCUCCCCCAAGCUUACUUGAUAAUAAUAGUGCUCUCUGUUGCCCCUAGUGGCAGGUUUAGAAGGGUACCUAGCAACAUGGCUUCACAGGCUCGUCCACUGAGGAACUUCUGAUGAGUUUGAAUGGUUGAGUUGCUUCAGCGUUUUGUCAGAGAGGUGAUAGUGGGUCAUUAUUCAUUUCUAAAGCCAGACAAUUUUUUGCUUGUAUUGUGUUUUUAUGAGGUAAAUGAAGAUGGCAAUGGAUGGCACUCGAUAGACACGCAC